UGGCGUCAAGAUCAUGAGGGAUCCCGUAGGAUCUUUCAGACCUAAGGCAAGUAUAUACUAGGCUACACGUCUGGGUGUUAUCCCCAUUACUCAAGGAUUUUCAAGAUAUUUACUACCAACAUGAUGGACGGGUGUUAACCCUUAGCGAUCCUUUAACAAGAAUAAAUUGUUUUAAGUUUUGAAAAAAAAGACUGUAAAUGAACAAGGUGUGCAGACACUCGAAAAUAAAAUAAUAAACUUUCAUUAAAAAAAAAAAGAUUACAUAGGAGGAAUGAUAUUUUCAGAUUCCUCCUGAGUCUCCACCACAUCAGUGUUUUCCACAUAUAUUACAUUAUAUUUAGAGACUCAGUCAGUAGGAGUAUCUUCAGCACGCUCCCCCUCCUCUGCGAUCUCACCC
rnacentral:lncRNA from 1 species